CCCUUAGAUGUUCUGGGCCGCACGCGCGCUACACUGAUGCCUUCAACGAGUCUAAAACCUGCUCUGAUAGGGGUGGGUAAUCUUUUGAAUGUGCAUCGUGAUUGGGAUAGAUGAUUGCAAUUUUUCAUCUUCAACGAGGAAUGCCUAGUAAACGCAAGUCAUCAGCUUGCAUUGAUUACGUCCCUGCCCUUUGUACACACCGCCCGUCGCUCCUACCGAUUGAAUGAUCCGAUGAAUAUCAUGGAUUGAGGAUUAUAGCAGGUUCGCCUGUCUUGAUCUUCGAGAAGUGAAGUAAAUCUUAUCAUUUAGAGGAAGGAGAAGUCGUAACA
rnacentral:rRNA from 1 species